rfam:Cavia porcellus supercont2_78 genomic scaffold, whole genome shotgun sequence.
AGCUUUGCACAGUGGCAGUAUCAUGGCCAUUUAAGUUUACCUGAGGUACUAUUAUUGCUAUUUAAAAAUAACAUACAGCCAAGCAUCAUUUAAUAUGUAAACUAGUGCCAUUACCUACACAGACCUAGGCCU